GCACAACCUUUCAAGUUGGCUAGAAAAACUUCUUUGUGGAUUUAAGCAUCAAAAUUGGUUACCAACAAAUUGGUGCCUAAAACAUUUCCUGACAAGCUUUUCAAUGGAAAUGUGCACUACACUUUAUGGAUUAAUCAAGUGUGAAGUGUUCAAUACAUAGAGUUGAUAUCAACUGUAAAACGAUAACAAAGGAUACCCUGUGUCAAUACAAAAUAAAUAAAUAAAUAAAUA
rnacentral:misc_RNA from 1 species